rnacentral:misc_RNA from 1 species
UCCGGUUUGGCACCGGCAGUCUCUCUAGAGUUCUCGGCAUUACCCGUUAGUAACUAGAGACGAGGGUUGCGCUCGUUGCGGGACUUAACCCAACAUCUCACGACACGAGCUGACGACAGCCAUGCAGCACCUGUGUACGGACUCCGAAGAGGGGUCUGCGUUUCGGCAAACUUUCCCGUACAUGUCAAGCCUAGGUAAGGUUCUGCGCGUUGCGUCGAAUUAAACCACAUGCUCCACCGCUUGUGCGGGCCCCCGUCAAUUCCUUUGAGUUUCAGCCUUGCGGCCGUACUCCCCAGGCGGGGCACUUCAUGCGUUUGCGCCGGCCCCCACGGGGUCGCUCCCCCAGAGACCUAGUGCCCAUCGUUUACGGCGUGGACUAC